AUCAUCUUUUCCACCAGAAAAUUCAGCGAUCUUGAACAGAUAAAUCGUUAUCGUUGAAAGAUAUUCUAAUUAUAAUCUAGGAUCAAUGCGGAUUAACGAAGCAAUUUACACGUUAUUAAUAAGCAAAAAGCAUAAGUAUAUGUAUACCCACCUCCUUGAUGUACCUGAGAUGGAAUCAAUUAUUAAACAUUUGAAAUUGAUAGCACAACUAUGAUAUUAUUUAUUACAUAUCAGAAAAUUGAGGCACAGAUUAUCACAUCAUUCAUCGCAUACAUUUACUCGUGUGCAUCCAUAUCGACAAAGAUAUGUUUUACUUGUGCUCGGAGGCAUUUUCUUUGGGCACUUUUGCACAUGAACAUACCAGUGUUUCUCUUGACAUCUUUCAUUGCAAUAAAAAGCCAUCUCGCAUCCAAGACACUUGAAUUUCGGCCCGAUGCUACUGCAGUUCGAACAUACAAGAUUGUG